ensembl:lncRNA LINC02612 long intergenic non-protein coding RNA 2612
AGUGACCACAGAGCAUUAGCACCCAAGCAGGACCUGCUGAACCUGGGGCCCUAUAGGAGAGCACUGAUGGCCCACCCCUGAUUGUGGCCCUGGUCUUCAUGUCUGCAUCAGCCUCAGCCAUCUCAAGACCACAACAGGAACAUAGCCAAGUCAGAGAAGGAAGACCAAAAGCACCAGGGCCCUUCAUAUUAUUAAGCUGCUAAAUUAACUAAUCUUGGAAACUUCUAGACUCUACAAUUCUUGUUGUAUGAGGUUUAACAAGUUCAAGAGAGAAGAUAUUGGCCAAAUACAACACAGAGGCUAAACACAACACCUAUGUUGAUUGUUUGGUGCAUAAGAAUUGAGAUGAUGGAAAGAGGUCACUGUGAGCUUCAGGAAUAGCUUGAGGCUAACUGAUAAAACAGAGUGGAUUGACAAUUAUUCUCUGGACUUUUUGGUAACCAAGAACUUCUAGCAACUAACCCUGGCAUGACCACCAGAAUCUGCAGGGCUGAGAGAAGAAAGAAAGGCAAAAGUGGAUGAAUGCAGCUGAAGAUGCUGUGGAACUCCUAUCACAUUCCAAGUGCUGUGUUGAUAUCUGGAGAUAUAGACAAGAUCGAAGCAGAUGCAGUCUUUCACAUGAAUAUUUGAAUCAGGCAGUAUGUUCCCCAAAUUAGCAAAGUAUCUCCCAGAUUUUUUCUUUGAUGAUAUAUUUGAAAUCCUAAUGCUGAAAGUUAAAUUAUCAGGGUUUUAAAACUAGAAGCAGUCAUUAUCAGAAUUUUAUAUACUAUUUAUUUUUAAGAACGUAAUUUGACUGUUUAAGUCUUAUUAUAAUUUUAAGUGAAGUACUUUGGGCAGUCAUAAAUAAAGUAAUGGGCAGGUAUUUAGUAUUCAUAUUGUGUGGAUUCAUAUCCAUACUCUGCCACUCAGUAUCUCUGGGAUUUUGAUGAAUGAUCAAACUCUCUGAGCCUCAGUUUUCUAAUCUGUAAAGCAGAAAUGAUAAUGGUAUGUAGUGAUAAUUAAACAAUUUACUAGUUGUAAGUGCUUAGAACAGUUCCUGGAAUAGAGAAAAUUUGCAGAGAGAUUUUUAUUGUUUACAAUUUAGUUAAUGGAAUGGCUUCAAUAAUACAGUAAAAUUAAGAUAUUCAAACAAGCAGGAUGCAGGUGAUGGGUAUUGGCCUCAGCUUUAGAGACCAGAGGUUAAAUCUCAGUGCUGCCUGCCACAAAACGAUCCAUGUAAGUCAAUAAACAAUGCUUUUUAAAAUAUUAUUAUAAA